ACGUAGUACACUAGCAAGGGUGAAACUUAAAGGAAUUGGAAGGGGUUCGCACAAGCGAUGGAGCAUGUGGUCUAAUUCGGUGUAACAUUAGGAACCUUACCAGAGCUUGAAAUGUUGUUUUUUAACUUUGUAGUAAAUUUUCAUUACUAUAUUCAGGUACAUGAGGCGCAUGGUUGUCAGCUCGUGUUGUGAGAUAUUGCGUAAGUCCCGCAACGAACGUUAUUCAAACUAAAAUGUUUUUAUAACCUGCCGUUGCUUUUUAUGAAAUAAGGAAGAAGGAGUUGAAACUUCAAGUCUUCAGCAGUCUUAUGCUCUGGGCUGUACUCUUGCUACAGUGCAAGGUACAAUAAAUUUAAUACAAGGGGAAAAAUUUUCGGAAUAUAAAUGUAUAUCGAAUAUGCGGACUACUCAAGUCAUCGCUUCUCUGUAUGGAUCUACCGCCGCAAAAUAUAUUUACCAGGCUAUGCUA
rnacentral:ncRNA from 1 species